GCAAGUCGAGCGCGCCCUUCGGGGUGAGCGGCGGACGGGUGAGUAACGCGUAGGAAUCUACCCAGUGGUGGGGGACAACCUGGGGAAACCCAGGCUAAUACCGCAUACGCCCCAAGGGGGAAAGCGGGGGCUCUCUUCGGAGACCUCGCGCCAUUGGAUGAGCCUGCGUCGGAUUAGCUAGUUGGUGGGGUAAAGGCCUACCAAGGCGACGAUCCGUAGCUGGUCUGAGAGGACGAUC
rnacentral:rRNA from 1 species